rnacentral:lncRNA from 1 species
GGGUUUUCUCACAAAGCUCGACUCCUCAGCAUCGAAUCUUUUGUGUUGCAGUAUGGGCCAUCUGGGGAGACAGGAACAAUAGAUUGCAUAAAAAAGAUGGUAAAUCUAGAAAAGAAGUUGGGAGAUUUGUUCAUAGCUAUAUUUCAGAUCUUGAUGCAGUUGGUAAAAAUAGGUUGCAAUCUUCCAUACCUGUAAAAAUAUGGACAAAGCCAGUGGACAAGGUAGUCAAAAUCUAUUUCGAUGCAGCGUACGACGGUAGACAAAGUAAAGCGGCUAUUGGGGUUGUGGCCCGCGAUAAGGAGGGUUCAGUUCUUCUAUCAUGUACGUAGGUUCAUCAAAGAGUUCCCUCAGCCUUUGGGGCGGAAGCAAUAGCAUCUCGGAAAGCCCUCCAGAUCGGCGUUAACAUGAAGUGGGAAAAAGUUAUUAUUGAAGGGGAUUCUUUAUCAAUAAUAGGAAAAUGUAAAACAAAAAGCCCCGAUAAAUCAUUGAUUAGUGUGUAUUUACAUGAUAUUCAUCAACUUCUGCUUAAAUUCAAGGAGUGUAGGUUUGAGCAUAUCCCAAGAUUAGCAAACAACCUUGCGCAUAUAUUAGCAAAUGAAGCGCUGAAGAGUAGUAGAGGAGCCUACCUGAUCGGACGAGUCCCUGAAGCGGCAGAAAUCCAAGCAGAAACUGAGAGGGCAAAAGAACCAGAUUGAAGGAAGAAAGCGAGAAAUGAAGGGAUGAGAGUAUAGAGAAGGGCAGACAUCAAAGUUAUUUCAGCAGCCCUAGAGUAAUCUCAAGCGUCUUGGAAAAGUAAAUAAAAUUGAAGAGAUAAGACGUUUGUAGUCUUUUAAGACUGAUUGGGCAGGUAGAAUAGUAAACAUUUAUUAGAAUCAGAUUUUGUUUCCUUUUUCAUUUCUCUAGGAGAGUUGGUUUUUCAAUUUUUGUCUUUUAGUUUUCUUUUGCUGGGCUCAAUUUUUUUAAUUGGGCUCGUUGGUUGUUUUUUCUAGGAU